rnacentral:tRNA from 2 species
GGCGCGUUAGUAUAUCGGUUAGUACUCAAGGUUUUCAUUCUUGCAGGAUGAGUUCGACUCUCAUACGCGCUA